GGGCUUGUGGUUUAGUGGUAUAAUACUCCCUUAGCAUCAAGACUUCGAGCAAUCGAACCGUCUUAAUGUGGGAGUGGUCCAGGGUUCGAUUCCCUGCAAGUCCA